rnacentral:rRNA from 1 species
GUGAGGAAUAUUGGUCAAUGGACGAGAGUCUGAACCAGCCAAGUCGCGUGAAGGAAGACGGUUCUAUGAAUUGUAAACUUCUUUUGUGCAGGAAUAAAGUGGGUUACGUGUAACCUUUUGUAUGUACUGUACGAAUAAGGAUCGGCUAACUCCGUGCCAGCAGCCGCGGUAAUACGGAGGAUCCGAGCGUUAUCCGGAUUUAUUGGGUUUAAAGGGUGCGUAGGUGGAUUGAUAAGUCAGCGGUGAAAGUUUGCAGCUUAACUGUAAAAUUGCCGUGGAAACUGUCGGUCUUGAGUGCAAAUGAGGUAGGCGGAAUGUGUUGUGUAGCGGUGAAAUGCUUAGAUAUAACACAGAACUCCGAUUGCGAAGGCAGCUUACUGGGAUGCAACUGACACUGAUGCACGAAAGCGUGGGUAUCAAACAGGAUUAGAAACCCCUGUAGUCC